UUCAACUUAGAAUUCAAUACUUAUCAAAACAUAGUCAGAAAUCUUUUUUUAUUUAAUCUUCUUUCAAAACUAUAAAGUAAAAGUCAAUUUUAUUAAUAGUUUACAACAUAAGUAUCCACUGAAUUAAACAAAACGUGUGCCAACAUUAAGCCAAGGAAGUUGGUCUGUGGCUGCGGAAGGAAGGUGAAUUACCCAAGAGGAGAGGAGCGGCGCAGCGAGGCUAGACAAGAGGAAGCUGUUCAAAACGAAACUUUUAUGGCGCUCGUUCUUGCGGGCUUAAAUAUAUUAUUUUAUGUUGUUGAUGGUAAUUCCGACUCACAAAAGAUCUGUGGAAUUUCAGGAAUUUCAAUUAAUUCCCAUAAUUCCCCUUCAAAAGGGGAAAGUCUAUGGUUCUUACUGGCAUUUGGCUUCUGGUGUAUAAGAGUAUAAGAUGUGGCUGCUUCCUCAGGAAAAAUAUAGGACCGAGGACCAGGACCAUUACAAUGAGCGCUCUCAUUUUUUGGCAAGGGUAACAGCUUUAACAACAGUAACAGCACAUCAAACAGGCUGUGGGCCACAGGGGUGGUUGGUGAUUUCAAUUAUUUACACUUAGCUUACAAAAUGUUACAACGUUGGCAAACGAUUACGAACAUAAUUUAUUGGCUGAGGAUGAGAAUGAAAAUGACGACAACAGAAAGAGGAAGCUUAUUUAAAUUGCACUUGUGAUAUUUUUGGGGGAAUAAAAACAGAAAUUAGCUUCUAUGUUCACAAUUACGCCAACGGAGUUGGGAUUGGGAUGUUUAUAUUUUUAUUUUUUAGUGCAUGCAUCCUUAUAAUGAAAAGACUUAUUGGAUAAUCAUUGUUAUUUUUUUUUUCAUAAACAGAAAGGCUCUCAAUAUUAAGCAUAUUCAAAGAUUGCGUCUAUAGUUCUUAUAAAUUAUAGCAGUUAAAAGGUACAUAA